rnacentral:rRNA from 1 species
AUGGCAUGCUUCUGGUUACCUCGAGGUCUUUGUGAGCAUAUCAAUUCUCUGAUUCGGGGGUUCUGGUGGGGAGGCAAAGAAGGAAAAAGGAAGCCACAUUGGGUCUCUUGGCAAGUUAUGACAAGUCCAAAAUAUAUGGGGGGUCUUGGGUUUCAUGAUCUUGAGCUUUUUAACUUGGCACUAUUGGCAAGGCAAGCAUGGCGUUUACUACAAGACCCAUCAUCUCUUAGUGCUCGCAUCUUGAAGGCGGUGUAUUUUCCAACAACGACAUUUCUUGAUGCAGAACUUGGCUCUAAUCCCUCUCAAAUAUGGCGGUCCAUUCUUGAUGGAAGGGAGGUACUCAAGCAGGGUGUGUUUGGCCGGAUUGGGAAUGGAUGAUCAACUCCUAUCUGGAGUAGCAACUGGAUCCCGCGUGAACCUUUGCUUAGACCUCUUAUGCCUUUGGUCCAGAACCCACCAGUGAUGGUGCAUGAACUUAUAAACAAUACGGAGGCAGUGUGGAACACAGAACUGGUACGCCAAGUUUUUUACCAAUGGAUGCAGAAGCGAUUUUGA